GAUGAACGCUGGCGGCGUGCUUAACACAUGCAAGUCGAACGAUGAUGCCCAGCUUGCUGGGUGGAUUAGUGGCGAACGGGUGAGUAACACGUGAGUAACCUGCCCUUGACUCUGGGAUAAGCCUGGGAAACUGGGUCUAAUACCGGAUACGACCAUCCGGCGCACGUCAUGGUGGUGGAAAGCUUUUGUGGUUUUGGAUGGACUCGCGGCCUAUCAGCUUGUUGGUGGGGUAAUGGCCUACCAAGGCGACGACGGGUAGCCGGCCUGAGAGGGUGACCGGCCACACUGGGACUGAGAUACGGCCCAGACUCCUACGGGAGGCAGCAGUGGGGAAUAUUGCACAAUGGGCGCAAGCCUGAUGCAGCAACGCCGCGUGAGGGAUGACGGCCUUCGGGUUGUAAACCUCUUUCGGUAGGGAAGAAGCGAAAGUGACGGUACCGGCAGAAGAAGCGCCGGCUAACUACGUG
rnacentral:rRNA from 1 species